rnacentral:rRNA from 1 species
CAGUCGCCGCGGUAAUACGAAGGGUGCAAGCAUUAAUCGGAAUUACUGGGCGUAAAGGGUGCGUAGGCGGUGAGUUAAGUCUGUUGUGAAAUCCCCGGGCUCAACCUGGGAAUGGCAAUGGAUACUGGCUCGCUAGAGCGUGAUAGAGGAUGGUGGAAUUCCCGGUGUAGCGGUGAAAUGCGUAGAGAUCGGGAGGAACAUCAGUGGCGAAGGCGGCCAUCUGGAUCAACACUGACGCUGAGGCUCGAAAGCCAGGGGAGCGAACGGGAUUAGAUACCCCUGUAGUCCCUGUCUCUUAUAC